GAACUGAAGCCCCGGUGAACGGCGGCCGUAACUAUAACGGUCCUAAGGUAGCGAAAUUCCUUGUCGGGUAAGUUCCGACCCGCACGAAUGGCGUAACAACUGGAGCACUGUCUCAACAAGGGACCCGGCGAAAUUGAAGUAUCCGUGAAGAUGCGGAUUACCCGCAGCAGGACAAAAAGACCCCGUGGAGCUUUACUAUAGCUUGGCAUUGCGUUUGGGCUUGGUCUGUCCAGGAUAGGUGGGAGACUUUGAAACUGGGGCGCUAGCCUCGGUGGAGUCGCCCUUGGGAUACCACCCUGACCAAGUCUAGACCCUAACUUCAGACCGUAAUCCGGCUGGAAGACAGUGCCAGGUGGGUAGUUUGACUGGGGCGGUCGCCUCCUAAAGAGUAACGGAGGCGCCCAAAGGUUCCCUCAGGCUGAAUGGAAACCAGCCAAAGAGUGUAAAGGCAUAAGGGAGCUUGACUGCAAGACCAACAAGUCGCGCAGAGACGAAAGUCGGGCUUAGUGAUCCCACGGUACCGAGUGGAAGGGCCGUGGCUCAUCGGAUAAAAGCUACCCCGGGGAUAACAGGCUGGUCUUGCCCAAGAGUCCAUAUCGACGGCAAGGCUCGGCACCUCGAUGUCGGCUCGUCACAUCCUGGGGCUGUACAAGGUCCCAAGGGUUGGGCUGUUCGCCCAUUAAAGUGGUACGUGAGCUGGGUUCAAACCGUCGUGAGACAGGUUGGUCUCUAUCCGCUGUGGGCGAAGGGGAUUUGAGGGGAGCUGCUCCUAGUACGAGAGGACCGGAGUGGACAGACCUCUGGUGUGUCAGUUGUCGUGCCAACGGCAUAGCUGAGUAGCCACGUCUGGCAAGGAUAACCGCUGAAAGCAUCUAAGUGGGAAACCUGCCCCAAGAUGAGAUCCCCCAAGCUAUAUGCUUGUAAGACCGCAGAAAGACUAUCUGCUUGAUAGGCGUCAGGUGUACACGCAGCAAUGCGCUUAGCUUAGACGUACUAAUGGUCGAGAGGCUUCACAUA
rnacentral:rRNA from 1 species